rnacentral:rRNA from 1 species
GUCGACCGCCUGGGGAGUACGGCCGCAAGGUUAAAACUCAAAUGAAUUGACGGGGGCCCGCACAAGCGGUGGAGCAUGUGGUUUAAUUCGAUGCAACGCGAAGAACCUUACCUACUCUUGACAUCCACGGAAUUUAGCAGAGAUGCUUUAGUGCCUUCGGGAACCGUGAGACAGGUGCUGCAUGGCUGUCGUCAGCUCGUGUUGUGAAAUGUUGGGUUAAGUCCCGCAACGAGCGCAACCCUUAUCCUUUGUUGCCAGCGGUU